ACUCACCUGCCGAGGCACUAGCCUUGAGAAUGGAUGGCGCUAAAGCGUCGUGCCUAUACCGUGCCGUCAACGGCAAAGUUGGCCCUCUGCCUUCGGGCAAGAGCCGUUACGUCUUGACGAGUAGGAGGGUCGCGGCGGUGUGCGCAGAAGGGUCUGGGCGUGAGCCUGCCUGGAGCCGCCGUCGGCGCAGAUCUUGGUGGUAGUAGCAAAUACUCUAGAGAGGGCCUGGAGAGCCGAUGUGGAGAAGGGUUUCUUGUGAACAGCCGUUGUACAAGAGUAAGUCGAUCCUAAGUGCUAGGAGAAAUCCGAUGUUGAUGGUCUGGCUGUCGACUUCUAUUCUCAACACUUAGAAAACGUUUUAGGCUUCCGGGCCGUAAAAGCGUAGGCUUCUCUCGCACCAUACACCCAGUGUGGAUUGCUCGUACGUGUUUUCCGGUGGGCUGGGGUUUAACAAGCUCCAGUCUAUACGGACUUGAACGAAGUCAUUUUCCCCCAAACGUGUGGGGCUCGUUUGUCGCGUCACGAGUAGUCCAGGUUCUACGGCACGUGUGUGUCAUGCUAGCCGCACGAACAGUGUUGGAACUAGCCUUGGAGCCUUUGGUCGAGAAAUAGCUAUGUGUUAUCCUUAGCCCGUUGAAGGGCGAAAGGGAAUCCGGUCAACAUUCCGGAACCCGGCUGCGUAAACCGCUCUCUGUUGGCGUAAGCCGGCGAGCGCUUUGUUGGGGUAACCCAAGCUGUCCCGGAGACUCUGGCGGGGGGUCUGGGAAGAGUUUUCUUUUCUUUUUAAGCGUUCGUGGACCCUGGAAUUCUAUAGCAGAGAGAUAGGGUUUGGAACGCGAAAAACAUCGCAGUUGCGGCGGUGACCGGACUUCCCCCCCGGACCUUGAAAAUCNGGGUGAGAGCGACGCGGUGAUCGCGCCGGUUCGUAUCCAUAUCCGCAUCUGGUCUCCAAGGUUCAAAGCCUCUUGUCGAUAGAAUAAUGUAGGUAAGGGAAGUCGGCAAAUUGGAUCCGUAACUUCGGGACAAGGAUUGGCUCUGAGGAUCGGGGCGUGUCGGGCUUGGUCGGGAAGCGGGUCAGUGCCAACGUGCCGGGCCUGGGCGAGGGUCGUGUGUAUUCUUCGGCAGCAAUGUCGAGUGCCCCAUGAUCCGAACUCGGUCCCGUGCCACUUGGCCUCCCGCGGAUCUUCCUUGCUGCGGGUUUUCGACCAAGCAGACCAGGCUGGGCCGCUUCAGGCCCGCGUGGACGGCUCCGAAUCAAUCCCUUCGGCCGCCAUUCAACGGUCAACUCAGAACUGGCACGGACAAGGAGAAUCCGACUGCCUAAUUAAAGCAAAGCAUUGCGAGGGCUCUAGCCGAGUGCUUACGCAAUGUGAUUUCUGCCCAGUGCUCUGAAUGUCAACGUGUAGAAAUUCAAGCAAGCGCGGGUAAACGGCGGGAGUAACUAUGACUCUCUUAAGGUAGCCAAAUGCCUCGUCAUCCAAUUAGUGACGCGCAUGAAUGGAUUAACGAGAUUCUCACUGUCCCUAUCUACUAUCUAGCGAAACCACAGCCAAGGGAACGGGCUUGGAAACAUUAGCGGGGAAAGAAGACCCUGUUGAGCUUGACUCUAGUCUGGCACUGUAAGGAGACAUGAGAGGUGUAGCAUAAGUGGGAGAAGGCGUGGCUUUAUGCCUGUCCGUCGACGGUGAAAUACCACUACUUUCAUCGUUUCUUUACUUACUCGGAUAGGCGGAGAGCGUGUCCGUCGAGGGCUCAGCCCACGCGGACCGGUAUUCUCGCGCCAAGCGUCCGGGUUGCCGGCAAGCGCCCGUCAGUGCUUGGGUUCGUGCGUGUCCUUAACUUGUCACCGCAAGGUGGCUGUCACCGACCCACGGCCCUUGCCUCGGCUGGGCGCCGUCGACCGGCAAACACUCCCACGCGUGAUCCGAUUCGAGGACACAGCCAGGCGGGGAGUUUGACUGGGGCGGUACAUCUGUCAAAUGAUAACGCAGGUGUCCUAAGGCCAGCUCAGCGAGGACAGAAACCUCGCGUAGAGCAAAAGGGCAAAUGCUGGUUUGAUCCCGAUGUCCAGUAGGCAUAGGGACUGCGAAAGCAGGGCCUGUCGAUCCUUUUGGCUUGAAGAGAUUUCAGCAAGAGGUGU
rnacentral:rRNA from 1 species